UACGAGGGGGGCGAGCGUUGUUCGGAAUUACUGGGCGUAAAGCGUGCGCAGGCGGUUAUGUAAGACAGAUGUGAAAUCCCCGGGCUCAACCUGGGAACUGCAUUUGUGACUGCAUAGCUAGAGUACGGUAGAGGGGGAUGGAAUUCCGCGUGUAGCAGUGAAAUGCGUAGAUAUGCGGAGGAACACCGAUGGCGAAGGCAAUCCCCUGGACCUGUACUGACGCUCAUGCACGAAAGCGUGGGGAGCAAACAGG
rnacentral:rRNA from 1 species